CCUACGGGAGGCAGCAGUGGGGAAUAUUGGACAAUGGGCGAAAGCCUGAUGCAGCAACGCCGCGUGAGCGAUGAAGGCCCUCGGGUCGUAAAGCUCUGUCCUAUGGGAAGAUAAUGACGGUACCAUAGGAGGAAGCCCCGGCUAACUACGUGCCAGCAGCCGCGGUAAU
rnacentral:rRNA from 1 species